AGUAUCUGUCUCAUAGAGCUGCUGUGAAGAUUCAAUGAGUGAAUACAUAUGAAGUGUUUAAAUGGGACCUGGCCCCCGGGUCCAGUCUCACCGGAUAGGUUCAUGGUCUACUUCAGCAUGAAUGUGCAGAGCUGCCUCAUUUUCUAAGCUUCCUCCUAUCCACCUUCAGAUGCCAAUCACUGCGAUGAGUAGCCUCCCCUACUCCAACUCCAAAGGGCUUCAUGGCCUCUGGCAAAAAGACAAGGAAAUGGAGGCACAAAAAUGCGUGAGAGGAGUGGCUUUGAUAGCAGGGAGUAGGCACAAGAACUGGGAGGAGAAAGGUGGUUAAGAAAUUCAACCUUCCAGUAAAAGAAUAAUUGCAAGAAGAUGUUUUGUUCAAUUGUUUUAAAGGAAUUUGAUUUACCUGCUUUACAACCAUUAGGACAACAAAGAUGGAAAAGACACAAACAGUGGAAGAAGGAAGUGUUUGUUUUGGAAUGCAUUGCUAAGAAAAGUCAUUUAGCACACCUGCUAAAGAAGGCCCUAUGAGGGGACUUCCCUGGUGGUGCAGUGGUUGGGAGUCCGCCUGCCAAUGCAGGGGACACGGGUUUGAUUCCUGGUCCAGGAAGAUCCCACAUGCCGAGAAGCAACUAUCCCUGGGAGCCACAACUGCUGAGCCCUCGUGCCACAACUCCUAAAGCCAGUGUGCCUAGGGCCCGUGCUCUGCAACAAGAGAUGCCACCGCAAUGAGAAGCCUGUGCCUCGCCACAACUAGAUAAAGCCCGCACACAGCAACGAAGACCCAACA